rnacentral:rRNA from 1 species
GACGAACGCUGGCGGCGUGCCUAAUACAUGCAAGUCGAACGCACUCUCGUUUAGAUUGAAGGAGCUUGCUCCUGAUUGAUAAGCAUUUGAGUGAGUGGCGGACGGGUGAGUAACACGUGGGUAACCUGCCCUAAAGUGGGGAUAACAUUUGGAAACAGAUGCUAAUACCGCAUAAAAACCUAGCACCGCAUGGUGCAGGGUUGAAAGAUGGUUUCGGCUAUCACUUUAGGAUGGACCCGCGGUGCAUUAGUUAGUUGGUGAGGUAAAGGCUCACCAAGACCGUGAUGCAUAGCCGACCUGAGAGGGUAAUCGGCCACACUGGGACUGAGACACGGCCCAGACUCCUACGGGAGGCAGCAGUAGGGAAUCUUCCACAAUGGACGAAAGUACUGAUGGAGCAACGCCGCGUGAGUGAAGAAGGUUUCGGAUCGUAAAACUCUGUUGUUGGAGAAGAAUGUAUCUGAUAGUAACUGAUCAGGUAGUGACGGUA